UUUUAGCCCCGAUAGCAGCGGCAUCUCCCGACUCAGAAAAACAAGGCUUUUUGCCGUAGUUUUUAUUUAUCGGGAAUACAGCGUAGAGCGGGAAUAGCU
rnacentral:sRNA from 1 species